GUGAUAGAACCCCGACGGCCGCCAUCUUCUUCCUUUCUUAGCGGUUAGCUGGGAGGAGGUCUCGGGGAAGAAGCGCUAGCGGUGACUGUAGCGUGGCCAUGGCCGACUACUCGACGGUGCCUCCGCCUUCCUCUGGCUCGGCUGGUGGUGGUGGCGGCGGUGGCGGCGGCGGCGGAGUGAACGAUGCUUUCAAAGACGCGCUGCAGAGAGCCCGGCAGAUUGCAGCAAAGAUUGGGGGUGAUGCUGGUACCUCCUUGAACUCAAAUGACUAUGGUUAUGGGGGACAGAAAAGACCUUUAGAAGAUGGAGAUCAACCAGAUGCUAAGAAAGUUGCUCCUCAAAAUGACUCUUUUGGAUCUCAGUUGCCACCAAUGCAUCAGCAGCAAAGCAGAUCUGUAAUGACAGAAGAAUACAAAGUCCCAGAUGGAAUGGUUGGAUUUAUAAUUGGCAGAGGCGGAGAGCAGAUCUCACGCAUACAACAGGAGUCUGGCUGCAAGAUACAGAUAGCUCCUGAUAGUGGUGGCCUUCCAGAAAGGUCUUGUAUGUUAACGGGAACUCCUGAAUCUGUCCAAUCAGCAAAACGGUUAUUGGACCAGAUUGUGGAAAAGGGAAGACCAGCGCCUGGCUUCCAUCACGGUGAUGGACCCGGAAAUGCCGUUCAAGAAAUCAUGAUUCCAGCCAGCAAGGCAGGAUUAGUUAUUGGAAAGGGGGGAGAGACUAUCAAACAACUUCAGGAACGAGCCGGGGUUAAAAUGGUUAUGAUUCAAGAUGGCCCACAGAACACUGGUGCUGAUAAACCUCUUAGGAUUACAGGCGACCCGUACAAAGUUCAACAAGCCAAGGAGAUGGUUUUGGAGUUAAUUCGAGAUCAAGGAGGUUUCAGAGAAGUUCGAAAUGAAUAUGGUUCAAGAAUAGGAGGAAAUGAAGGCAUAGAUGUCCCAAUUCCAAGAUUUGCUGUGGGCAUUGUAAUAGGAAGAAAUGGAGAGAUGAUUAAAAAAAUACAAAAUGAUGCUGGUGUUCGAAUUCAGUUUAAGCCAGAUGAUGGAACAACACCUGAUAGAAUAGCGCAAGUGACGGGGCCUCCAGACAGGUGCCAGCACGCCGCAGAGAUCAUAACAGACCUUCUCCGCAGUGUGCAGGCUGGUAAUCCUGGUGGUCCUGGACCUGGUGGUAGAGGAAGAGGUAGAGGGCAAGGCAACUGGAACAUGGGACCACCUGGUGGACUACAGGAGUUUAAUUUCAUUGUGCCAACUGGGAAAACUGGAUUAAUAAUAGGAAAAGGAGGUGAGACCAUUAAAAGCAUAAGUCAGCAAUCUGGUGCGAGAAUAGAACUUCAGAGGAACCCUCCCCCCAAUGCAGACCCGAAUAUGAAGUUAUUUACAAUCCGUGGCACUCCACAGCAAAUAGACUAUGCUCGGCAACUCAUAGAAGAAAAAAUAGGGGGCCCAGUAAAUCCUUUAGGGCCACCUGUACCCCAUGGGCCCCAUGGUGUCCCAGGCCCCCAUGGGCCUCCUGGGCCUCCUGGGCCUGGAACUCCAAUGGGACCAUAUAAUCCUGCACCUUAUAAUCCAGGACCCCCUGGCCCAGCUCCUCAUGGUCCACCAGCUCCAUACGCCCCCCAGGGCUGGGGCAACGCGUACCCGCACUGGCAGCAGCAGGCUCCUCCCGACCCAGCUAAGGCAGGAACAGAUCCAAAUUCAGCAGCCUGGGCUGCUUAUUAUGCUCACUAUUACCAACAGCAAGCACAGCCCCCACCUGCAGCUCCCUCAGGGGCACCAGCGACAACCCAAACAAAUGGACAAGGUAACUACGGAGAUCAGCCGAACGCAGCUCCAGCUGGACAGGUGGACUACACAAAGGCUUGGGAAGAGUACUACAAAAAAAUGGGUCAAGCUGUUCCUGCUCCUGCUGGGGCUCCCCCAGGUGGCCAGCCGGAUUAUAGCGCAGCCUGGGCUGAGUACUAUAGACAACAAGCCGCCUACUAUGCCCAGACAAGUCCCCAGGGAAUGCCACAGCACCCUCCAGCACCUCAGUGCAGGUUUGAUCCAGCCAGUAUAGAACUAGCUCUGUAGGGGUGAGGAGGACUGUGCUGUGUGUCACCCUUGAUUGUGUUCCUUCAAGGAGCAUUGCACUUGCCUUCCCAGACCUUCCACCUUAGGUUCUGCUGCAAAAAGCAACAGUGCUGAAGAUGCUGCAAGCACCAAAUCCUAGCUCAUAAGAUCAGGUCCUGAGGUAGUUACCCAUAAAGAGGAGUGCUUUGAGUGUAUGCCAUUGGUGAGCCGAUGAGCAUGGACCGUAGAAGGGCUCAAUGUAGAAGGUAAAAUUGGCAAAUCAUAAUUGAGAAAUAUGAAAUGUAUUCCCAUACAUAUAUGAUGUAGGGUGUAAUGUACCUGCUUUUGAUCAAUUUUCAUUUUAAAUUGCUAUUCAGUUAUCUUAAAUGUUCCAUGAACUGUUAAAUCUCUUACGUUUUACAGUUACUGCACCACAUUUAUGUGUAUGUGUUGAUAGAUAGGUAUGUUAAAAUUAAUGAUAUUAAGGGGCUCUUUCAACUUCUAGAGCCUGUCAAGUUUUGGUUAGCUGUAGUUUGCAUUUUUGUAAAAGAAAAUAGAGAUGAAUGCUAAUAGAUUUUGGGGCAAUGUUUAUCUCAGGAGAACUUAAUUCAUUAUUGUAAGUCUUCACCAGUUUUUUUGUUUGCUUGUUUGUUUGAAGCAUUUUUUUAAAUGGCACUAGUCCUUUAACUUGAAGUAAAUGGAAAGCAGAGAAGGUGAGCCAGAUGAUUUGAAUGUGGUGGAUGUUAGGACUGGUAGAAAAACUGCAUAGUUCAGUUUGGACUUGAACUGACUUAACACUUAAACAGAAAUGUAUAGGGUAGUGUGAAUGUGUGUGUGUGUGUGUGUGUGUGAAAGAGAGAGAGAGAGGACCUCAUAGUGGUGGUAUUUAGAAUUCUUUGAGUUGAUGUUUCAGAAAUGAGUAAAGUUUUUUUUAAUGAAAAUUAUUUUAAUACUAAAAGUAGUGGUUUGAUAUUAGUUGUUUAUUAACAUUGUAAAGUAUACAUUCUUAAACAAAUGUCUUGGUAGUUAAUUCCCUAGAAUGGGUUUGGAUAGGAGUAGCCAAGUAACUUCUGAAGGAAGUAGAAAUAUAUUAAAACGGUAAAAUUUCAUUUGUUUGAGAAGUUUGUCGGUAGAGUCAGUUGUUCCUAGAAGUAGUUAUGUGUUGUCUAGAAUAAUACUGUAGCACUGAGUUUAAUCAUUGAGGAUGUCUCAUGCUUAUUUUUCUGCAAAUUCUGCCUCACUUUUAAGAUGCAUUUAAUAAUACUUAACAGAUAAUUUUGACUGAAAAUAACCCUACUUUUUUGUUUAAUCAGUCGCUUGACUUUUACAAUAUAAUCUUUGAGGAAUUUUUUUAAUUGGUGUUUUUCUUAAAGAAGCAAAUAAGUUCCAGGGCUUUAUUUUCUUCAUUAAUACCCCUAAAGAAACUCUUAAAUGUAUAUGCAGAUAUAUAAAUAUAUUUUCUUAUGCAUGCUCGAUGCAUUUUCGUCCUGAGAAAAGUGUUCUCUACAGAAACUACCCGUGUGUAAACAGAAGAUUGGCUUAAAAUGGCUACUGUGAUGGGAACAGUGUCUUAGGGAGAUGCAGCUUGGACUUGAGGUAAAUUGAAUACUUUACAAACUGUGGUUUAGAGUUUGUUUUAUUCACAUUGUAUGUAAAAGGGUACAUGAUUGCUGUAAUUUUGUAUUUAUUAU